UCCUCCCUCAAACCCCGGGUUUGGUGUUGGACUCAAGUUGUGUGAACAACUGGUCUCAAAGACAAUGACGGCGUCCGUGGGACCCUCGGUGCAACGAGCUUUUAGGAGCACGCAUCGAGUUGCAAGGACCUUCCGGGCCGGUCUCCUUUACCAUUUUACAA
rnacentral:misc_RNA from 3 species